rnacentral:rRNA from 1 species
CCUACGGGAGGCAGCAGUGGGGAAUUUUNGACAAUGGGCGAAAGCCUGAUCCAGCAAUGCCGCGUGUGUGAAGAAGGCCUUCGGGUUGUAAAGCACUUUUGUCCGGAAAGAAAUCAUUGACCUUAAUACGGUGGGGGAUGACGGUACCGGAAGAAUAAGCCCG